GUGCCAGCCGCGGUAAAACGUAGGUCCCGCGCGUUGUUCGGAUUCACUGGGUGUAAAGGGCGCGUAGGUGGUUGUCUGUGUCUCAUGUGAAAACUCAGGGCUCAACUCUGAGAUGGCGCGGGCAACUAGGCAGCUAGAGGACGGUAGAGGGGAGUGGAAUUCCCGGUGUAGCGGUAAAAUGCGUAGAUAUCGGGAGGAACACCGGUGGCGAAGGCGGCUCUCUGGGCCGAUCCUGACGCUGAGGCGCGAAAGCUAGGGGAGCGAACCGGAUUAGAUACCCGGGUAGUCCUAGCCGUAAACGAUGGGUGCUAGGUGUUGGGGGUAAAGACCCUUCAGUGCCGAAGCAAACGCGAUAAGCAUCCCACCUGGGGAGUACGGCCGCAAGGUUGAAACUUAAAGGAAUUGGCGG
rnacentral:rRNA from 1 species